AAGCUCGUAGUUGAAUUUCGGAAUUUGUUCAUUGGUCAGGUUUAAUUGUCUGUACUGGUGUAACGAAUUUCUACUUUCUGAGGAAUCUUCAUGUCAUUCACUUGGUGUGGAGGGGAAUCAGGACUGUUACUUUGAAAAAAUUAGAGUGUUUAAAGCAGGUUAACGUCUGAAUACAUUAGCAUGGAAUAAUAAAAUAGGACGGUUUGGUUCUAUUUUGUUGGUUUCUAGGAUCACCGUAAUGAUUAAUAGGGAUAGUUGGG
rnacentral:rRNA from 1 species